rnacentral:rRNA from 1 species
UACGAACUGUGCGAACGUUAUUCGGAAUCACUGGGCUUAAAGGGUGCGUAGGCGGCCAUGUAAGUGGGGUGUGAAAUCCCUCGGCUCAACCGAGGAACUGCGCUCCAUACUGCAUGGCUUGAGGGAGACAGGGGUAAGCGGAACUGAUGGUGGAGCGGUGAAAUGCGUUGAUAUCAUCAGGAACACCGGUGGCGAAAGCGGCUUACUGGGUCUCUUCUGACGCUGAGGUACGAAAGCUAGGGUAGCGAACGGG